UUGGGUUCAUGAGUUCAGAAAUAUAAAGUAAUGUUAAUCGUCGUUGUUUACGAUCGAAUUUCUUCCGCCAGACUGAUAAAUUAUCCAUGCGCGCAAUGAAAUAUGUCGCCAUUCGAGUAUUUCGCGUACGUUAGUCCUUUGAGCCGGCCGUUAUACGACUUACCGCGUCAUCUCUUCAUUUCGCUGCGCGGCCCUCGAAGGAAAAUUUCUAAUACAUAAAUAAACAGGUCGUGUGUGCGGAUGUAAACUUUGACGAGAUGUGACCGGCGCCCAACGUGUGCACACGCCGCCCCGCCGUGUGUGUCUACGGCGUCUACAGGUUGUAAAUUCCAACUCAUUUACUGUUUAUGACAUGACAGUUGGAGCGCGCGGAAUAAAACCGUGCGCAAAUAAAAACGCUUGAGGGGAAGCGAAGCACAGCGCGCGAAUAAAAUACUCGUACACACCAGCGACGACGAGAUGUGUUCGCUUCUCCGUUUAAACUUGAGCGCGUAUAGAAUAUUCGGCGGUGUGGCGGGUGCAGUGCACAAACAAAGGAUUCAAUUAUCCUUAGUUUGGGCGAUGUGUGUAUUUGUGUACGUGCUCAUAUCAGGCGCGAGGGCACGUUUCACCUAUGUGAAAUUUUAAAUUGUUGCGCUGGAAAAUCACAAGACGUCAUUAUAUUCCUUCGCUUUUAUUAGUUUCCGGCGCGACUUCCACUUGAGAACUUGCUACAUUGUUUGCGUAUAAUAAAAGUGCAGAUUGUUUGUAAAUUCGAUAGGGGAGAGCAGGUAGGAUUCGUACAGUAGGAGCAUUCGUACAGUCCUUAUUCCUACCACUGUAGAAUACUUUGACAGGUCUGUGUUUGUGUGCGUGAGACCCACUCGCACGCAUAGGUUACUCGCGGGGUGAGACGUCAGUGCAGCCGCCGGCUUCGACGCAACGAGUCGUAACGUGAUUUCGCGCCAAGUAGGGGUGGGGUAGAUUCGUACGUGUACGAAUGCUCCCCGUGCCUGACUGCUCAAACGAACCCACAAGCUUCAACUUCUUCACAACCACAAGCGUUACAAUCCACGCAAGAUAAGCAAUCAAGUUCUGUAGCCGUUCAAGAUUACGAUGUGCCAGAGACCAUACCAGCAGACCCCAUACAGACAGAGUUUAUUCAACAAAACCUUCCAAGUUGUUCAUCAUCUGUGUCUCCAUCUUUGCUAUCACCUACAACAGUAACAGAUUGCUCACCAGCUGUGGGGUUGAUCACCCCAGAGUUAGUCAGGCCAUAUCCUAGAGUGGACAGAGAUUCAAUAAAGAAAACAAGGAAAGGAAAGCUACCAGGCAAAUCUAGAAUUUACACUGAUACUCCGGAAAAAGAUAGACUGGCAGAAAUAGAAAAGGAAGACUAUUGAAGAAGCAAGUGCAAGAGAAAAACAAAAGCUAAGGCCAUCAAAGCUCUACAUCUUGUCUUAGAUGCAGAUAACGCAUCUUCAAUAAAGAGGAAAUCUCAAUCGAAAGAGUCAUUUAAUUUAAAGAAGCAAAAGAAAACUACAAAGACUGAUAAUGAAGCAAAUGCAUAUUAUAUGAUACCUAUGAAUACCUAAAUAAUAUAUCUUGGUUCUUAAUACAAAAAUGCUGAUUCUGUGUUAAAUUGAUCUCAAUAAAUGAUUAAAUUUAAUCAACAA